rnacentral:rRNA from 1 species
AUGACUUCUGGAAAAAUUCAAAAAAUCCUUGCUAAACAUUGUGCACAAGCGGUCACCAAGGCAAUCAAAGAAGAGAUGGGUGAUUCUCUUUUCUCUGUUCUUAUUGAUGAGUGCCGUGAUAUAUCGGUGAAAGAACAAAUGGCCGUGGUAAUUAGGUAUUUGAGCAAACAAGGAGAGACUAUUGAACGCUUUUUAGGUAUUAAGCAUGUUCCGGACACAACAUCUGCUUCUUUAAAGAAGGCAUUAUUGGAGGUUUUUGCUAAGCACGGUCUAGUUGUUGCACGACUACGAGGGCAAGGGUAUGAUGGGGCAUCUAAUAUGAGAGGAGAAUUCAAUGGCCUUCAGAAGUUAAUUCGAGAUGAGAACCCAUAUGCUUUCUAUAUCCAUUGCUUUGCCCACCAACUGCAGUUGGUAGUUGUUGCUGUUUCGAGAUGCUGCAAGGGUGUUGAGGAUUUUUUUGAAUAUGUGACCAUGAUUGCUAAUCUCAGUACUUCAUCUUGCAAGAGGAAGGAUAAAUUUCUUGACAAGCAAAAAGAGGUUCUUUUGGAUAAGAUUAAGAGUGGUGAGAUGCCAACGGGAAGAGGGAAAAAUCAAGAAACAUCCUUGGUCAGACCUGGAGAUACAAGAUGGGGCUCCCAUUACACAACCUUAUCUCGCAUUGAAUCAAUGUGGGAUGCAGUCAUAGAGGUUUUGGGCAUUGUUGAGGAUGAUGUGCGUGUUCCAUGUAGGGCGGGAGGUUUGGUUCAUCAAAUGGAGACUUUUAGCUUUGUGUUCAUCUUGAAGAUGAUGCUAAAAAUCCUUCGCAUGACAAAUGAUUUGUCUCUUCUAUUGCAAAAGAAGGAUCAAAAUGUUGUUCAGGCAAUGUCAUUGGUUACAGAUGUGAGAACACGUUUGAUCAACUGGAGAAAUAAUGGUUGGGAGCCACUCUUGGAAGAUGUCAAAGCCUUUUGCACCAAAAACGACAUUCCGAUACCAAAUAUGGAUGACAUCUUUACAAAGUGGGGAAAAUCAAGAAAAGGUGGACGAAACAAUGUCAUGGCUGAUCAUUUUUUCCGCGUGGACACCUUCUAUGCUGCCAUAGACUCCAUCACCAUAGAGUUUGAUCAUCGUUUUAAUGAGGUAUCUUCGGAGCUGCUCCAGAACUUCUCUUGUCUUGACCCAAGAAACUCCUUUUCUAGGUUCAAUGUGAAUAAGCUUGCUAGACUCACAGAGAUUUAUCAUGAGGAUUUCUCAGAUUACGAACGUGAACAUAUAGUUGAUAACCUAGAGCUAUUCAUUAUCCAUAUGAGAAGAAUUGAAGACUUUAGAGCUUGUCAUGAUAUUGCAAGUCUAGCUAAAAAGAUGGUUGAACUUGAAAGGCAUGUCAUGUUUCUUGCUGUUUAUCGCCUCAUUGAGUUGGCAUUGCUACUACCGGUAGCGACGGCAACAGUUGAAAGAGCCUUCUCAUCAAUGAAAAUCAUCAAGACUGAGUUGCGCAACAGGAUGUCUGAUGGCUGGCUUAAUGACUUGAUGGUGUGUUACAUUGAGUGA